UUUACAACGAAAAUGCCACCGCUAAAGAAAACGGUUCACCGGCCCGACUCGAUACGGUCACAACAACGCGCUCGAGCAGUUCCCCUCUCCCUCGAAUCGCUCCGCUGCCAAACAAUUCCCCUCUGUGACCUACCUUGUUGCCGCUGUCGCCCCCGCCGCCACGGCCAGAUCCCGUCAGCCGCCGGCCGGAGCUCCUGUCCACUGCCAGAUCUGGCGUAUACAAGGCCAUCCCCGUAGGUUCCCUUCCAUAAGACCACCCCGAAGGUGCAUCCUCGCCGAUACCCGUCGCAACACCCCCGCCGGCUGCAUACACCGCCGGUGCUGAUCUCCACAGACCCCGCCUCAACUUCUGAACCCCCAUCCCGGACGGCAUCAACCCUAGUUUGAUCAUGACUGCUGAAUGGAGCGUUGAGAACACUCGGAUUGUGUGCGAGUUGUUUGCCGCGCAAGUGAACGCUGGAAAUAGGCCAGGAAAUUAUUUGACACCAAAUGCAUUUGAUGAGGUGACAAGGCAAUUCAAAAUGAGAACUGGGUUUGACUACACAAAAACGCAAUUGAAAAACAAAUGGGACAAGCUUAAAGGUGAUUUCAGUGUAUUCAAGAAACUCAAGUUGCGGGAGACCAGAGCCGGAUGGGACUAUGUGAACAAUACUGUGUCGUAAGAUGAUGAGUGGUGGAAAAAGGCUAAAAUUGAUAUUAAAGGUUGUGGCAAGUUCAAGAAGAAAGGACUUGCUAAUGAAGAAAACUUGCGGACUAUAUUUGGAGAUAUCACAAGUGAUGGUACUGACCAUUGGAAUCCUUCUUCGGGCACGCCUCCUCCCUCUAGUGCGGCAUUGAAAGCUAGCAUCAAUGUUGAUGAGAUCGAAGAUCUUGAUUUGGAUGAUACCGAAGAACAAGCAUCUCAGGCAACACCUACUUCAUCUAAAGUGAGGCUUGGAAUCAUCAUUCCGGAGAAGAACAAGAAACCCAAGACCGCACAAGUGAUGUGUGAGCAAGUUACAAGGAUUGGUGAUAUUGCCGAGGCUUCUCACUCAUCAUUUCAAUCUUUCCUAAAGCAAGAUGAGGCGAACUCUGUCAGCUCGGUUAUGGAUGAAGUCAUUGCUUGUGGUGCAGCAGCUGAUACCGAUGAGUUCUUCAUGGCUUCUGAGUUGUUUGUGAAGAGGGCGCAAAGGGAGAUGUUUCUUUACAUGCCUCUUGAGUCCCGAAAGGGAUGGUUGCGCAUGAAGUAUGACUUGAAGUAUGGGAAGUAGUUAAUUUACAUGCACACCAUUCCAUCUUUGUGUAAUGGUCGAUUAUCCUUUGCUAUCUAAACUAUUUGUGUCUUUUAUGUCAAACCUAGUGCUUGAACCUUCUUUAUGACUAUGUUGUUGAACUACUUGAUACUAUUUCAUCUA